GAUGCUGGGGGAGUUUGUUGAUGAGUAUACGGUGCGGGUGGUCGAUGUGUUCGCUAUGCCGCAGAGCGGGACCGGGGUUAGCGUUGAGGCCGUGGAUCAUGUUUUCCAGACUAAUAUGCUCGAUAUGCUCAAGCAGACCGGAAGACCCGAAAUGGUGGUGGGAUGGUACCAUUCUCAUCCAGGAUUUGGAUGUUGGCUUUCUGGUGUUGACAUAAAUACACAACAAAGUUUUGAAGCCUUGAAUCCCAGGGCUGUUGCUGUUGUUGUGGAUCCCAUCCAGAGUGUCAAGGGGAAGGUGGUCAUCGAUGCCUUCCGUUUGAUCAACCCUCAAACUAUGAUGCUUGGCCAGGAG
rnacentral:misc_RNA from 1 species